GGGACCUGGUGACCUCUGAGUUCCCAACAACCCUCGAUUCCAGUUUUCUACGAUUCCAUUGCUUCUUAUGAAGCUGGUGACUUGGAGCCUGCCCCAGUCCCUGGGCCCCAGCCUGGACCCGGGGAGCCCCGGGGCGGGAAUCAGCGGGGACCCUGCACGUCCCAGGGCAGGGGGAACGGGGAAGGUGUCCCCGCCAGCCUGGUGCGCGGAGCCUGGCUCCUCGGCGCGCCUGAGCAGCGGCCCUGGGAGGGAGAGGCGUCGCGUUGCAAGAAAGCUGUUGUGUCCUUGGAAGUCUUACAACUCCACAGACCACGUACUUCCUGGGCCAAAGAGCACUCCUAGUCUUUGGGGGGAUAGAAACUGAGAGAAGCAAAGAGAGACCUCCACCAUUCCAAGGUGGGACAUGUUAAAGUCCUGUUCGUGGAGAAAAGCUUUCGUGGUUGAAUGAGAGAGUUGCAAUUGUAUCUAUUUCUCUAGAGCAUUGCCAGUUGCACUUUUCAAUAAAAAAUCUUCACAUUUAUGUCCUUAUGGCUGUCCAGAGCAUCAUAGGGUAUCUGAAGACUUACAGCCAGCUGCCAUGUUGUAAGGACACUCAAGCUGCUCUAUGGAGAGGUCCACAUGGUGAGGAACUGAGGCCUCUGGCCAACAGCCACGUGAGUGUGCCAUCUUGGGAAAGGAUCUGCCAGCCCCAGUCAAGCCUUCAGAUACCUGCCACCCUGCCCAGCAUCUUGACUGCAACCUCAUGAAAGACCUUGAGCCAGAACCUUCCAGGAAUCAUAAAUCCGGUUCUGAUUAUCGCCACACACACAGAUCCUUCUCAAAGAUUCAGAGUCUUAUUCUUUUAUCUCUUCCCUAAAAUACGAUCUAAUUUACAAAACUUUGACUUACAACUCCGCCAGAAGCCCAGCUGGCGUGUGAAGUGAUGCACUCUGCAGCCGGCAGCACUGAAAAGCACCGGCCUCCCGGGAACCCAGCAAGGACCGUGAUCUUCAGUUAUUUUGUGCAAUAAAGAAAUUUUGUAAAACGAGUAACAC
rnacentral:lncRNA from 10 species